CUUUAAACCCCGGGCGGGGCGGGGCUGCUCCCGUGACUCCUUUGAAAGGCAGGUCCCGGGCAUUGCUGGGCACAGGGGUAGCUGGCUGAGAUUGAAAGUGGUUGUUAACAAUAACUAUAAUAAUAAUUGUAAUAAUUAAUGAUUAAUAAUGAUAGCUAAUAAUUAUAAUAGUAAGGAUAAUAAUAAUGAUCAAUAACAACAUGGAGACUCUUGAGGAGGAGCGAGGGUUGUUGGCACCGUGCAGCGAACCAUUUGGAAAGGACCAGGUAGAUUAUAACGAGCCUCGAAGUCGGCUGACUCCCUCGGCGCUGCCGCGGUUGCCAGGCAGGUGGCUUUAAACUUUGGGUGGAGCGGGAAUAAAGGGAGGGGCAAGCGCCCCAGUGCACACCGCGGGGUCCGCUCCUGAUGGCCGGUCUGAGGGGGCGAGCCGUGAUUCUCAACCGGGCGCCAUGAGAUCUUUCUAAGGGUGCCGCUCCCUCCAUGUCGGCAUCGUUAGGUGUGCCAACGCCAACCCUAACGCUGAUCUCGCAAGAUAAGAUCAACCCCGAGACUUGCAAUAGGAGUUCAGAGAGUCGAGGACGUUGUGCCCUGCUGCGAGCUUCCUGCAGCCUUUGGCACAGAAGACUUGCUCUGGUAUUUUUCAAGAGUCAAAAAGGGAGUGAAAGCGAAGAGCUGGCAUUUUCCAAAGGAAGCCCAGAGUGCGAGAAAGCGGAGGCCGAACCGUUGGCCUGAAAGGUGACGUUUCAUAGCACUUGCAGGACUGGCUAAUGUUAGCCGUUAACUUCUGAUAUCCUCACUCGUGCACGUCCAGUCUCUUUGUGAAUGUGCUAAACUCUUGACCGGUGUCCUGCGUGGCGGCCACGAGUUCCACAGCAUGAAAAAAUGCGUUUUCAAUCUCUUACUGCUUCAUUUGAUCAGAUGCCCCUUUGUUCUCAUAUCGGAGAAUAGCAGGUUUUCACCAUUUGUCAUUUAAUGUACUUUUUCUCUUAAGUGGAUCAUAUAAGUGUCAUGUUCUACGUGCCCGGUGCCUAGGUCACUGGGGAAGACCCAAGUUCAAGUCCUGUCUCUGAGUAAUGCAGGCUAGAGUGUUUCAAACUAGUUCACUCCUAACUGAGGCAGAGCAGAAUUUCCCAUACCGCAAACCAGCAUCGUAAUUGCCCUGCUAUGAUGUCCGCCUCUUUCAUUUCUGAUUAAUGUUUUGGCUUCACUGAAACAUUCUGUUUUGACAAAAUAUGCUGAAAUUGCUCCCAGCCUGUAUCAAUCCCUCUUAAUCUUCAUCUUUUUACAAUAAACAAUCCCGUCUUUCCAUUUUCUCAUCAGACAGGACUUUUUUCCAGGCCCUUUGUCAUUCUUGUUGCCCUGCUUUGAACCCACACUCAUCUUGCAAAAUUUUUUCAGUAACGAUGUGAGUUGGACUGAACCCGGUAUUCUUGAUAAUGCCAUGCCCUUGCUUUACAGAAUACUGUUAAAUAUUUUGUCUUAUUCUCAGUGACUAUAGCGGUUACAACAUGGUACCUUAACUGCACCUGAAAGGCAUAUCUGGUUCGAAGAACUGCUAGCCUUAGGCCACUUAACACAGUAUGCCAAAAUCCAUCUUGCUAAUCCUUCCAUAGAUAUAUAUAUUGCCACACUGGAUUUACACUUCAUUCCCACAGUCUCUUCCAUCGUGAGUUUGAGGCGCUCAGACUAGGCACCUGCUGGGUAUAUAACAACACUCGGCUUAAUAAUAUGGGAUAUACUGGUGGAUCUAAGAGCAGAUCUACCAGGGCUGCAAUAAUCAUGAAAACGUUACUUGACCUGUGUGAUUUCACCGAGGGCUGUUACAUUUGGAGUGAAAUCAGAUUCUGAUCGAUGGUGUUCCUGGAUAUGUUUUAUGCAAAAAAAGUCAUAAUAUUGCCAUGUUAACGAAAGCCUCAGCCCUACAAUGAAUGUCAUAUGGGCAAAUCCCAGCGCUCACGUGGAGCUUGAUUCAGGAUCAGAACUCGGGUUUAAUUAUUAAACAAAGUCUCUGCCAGAAAAGACAAAUUUCUCUGCAUCUUUGUUUGGAUGCAUUUCACAGCCUAAUCAUCCACUUAUUUCAGGCCUUAUCCAUGUUAACUCCUUUCAUUCACACACAUUAACCCCUCCAUUGGUCACAAACAAAAUUUUCAUGUUUACUGUUUUUUGUUGUGUUUUUUAAAGAGUACUUGGGUUAUGACAUCUGUCCUGCUCCAGGCGCAGUCCUUUACACUGCGCCAAAUUAUGAGCAGAACAAAUCAAAAUAGGAGUUGACAUCCGCUUUGGGCAGAUGUAAAUGAUUGCACGUGGUGAAGGGUGGUAAAGACUUAUAGCGCUCAACAUACUCCCUUUUGAAAAUGAAAGUUUGUGUGGGGGGUUUUUUGUUUUUUUUUUGCUUAAUAAAUAGAUUUGUACUGUCUCUAGUGGGUUAUGGAAUAGAGAAAAUCCCACACAAUUUACUGAUUCAUUUUGAUGCACUGGCUGGGGGAGUAGUUAGUUGAUUGCAUGAUUUCACAAUGAUUACACACUUAAUUCAUUCUAAUUUUAUUUUAAAAUUCUUUGCUACGUAUAUUACACUGCUUAGCUUUAAGAAAUACCACAAACAUUAAGAACACAAUAAUUACAUAUAUCAGAAACAAUGCUCCAAAUGCACUUCCUUCCCAAACAAUGCUAUAAGAAUUAGUAUAACAAAAACAACUACAAUUACAACUAAAAGUUAAAUUUGAAUCAGUACUAUUAUUUUUCAUAAUAUACUUACAAUCCUAGAAUUCCGAGAAGCCAAACACCUAAAUAUGGUUUCAUUCCUCAGUAGUACAAUUUAAUGGGUUGGCCUCAGUAGUACGGUUCAAUGGGCUCACCUCAGCUAUACGAUUCAAUGGGCUGGCCUCAAUACUGGUAGGACUAAGUCCCCUUCUUUCAGUCCCUUUUGGGUGCUCUGCAGCUUCAGCGUGAACUAAGAGAUUCGUGUUCACGGAGAGGGUGGUUCAGGUGAUCAGUCUGAUCCGGCCUACACUUGCGAUUCUUCCUUCGUUGUUCUGCAAGUGAAGUCACCUCCAAAUUGGGACAGUAAGUUACAGUUUUUAUUGAGUGAGCUGCCGUCUUGGGCCACUCCUACUCAAACCUGUCAUUACCCCCAAACUUGGGCUCGGAUCUUACUCAACAGAUUCUUUUGCUUAGUAAUUAGUUUCUUUUGUUGAUCAUUUUAAUUACUUUGGGGAACUUCCAUACCACUGCAAGUGACCUUUUCUUGCCAAUCUUUCCAAAAGGCCCUAGGGUUUGAUCUCUCGGAACUCAGGAUAUUUGCUUAAAAGAUCAUUGUUAGGUUCUCUUUGUAAAAGACUUCUAAAGAUAAAAUUCAAGAGUUAAAACUUUAAGCAAAGUCUGGAUUUUUCACACGUAGUCCAAAACAAUGACCUAGAUAAGGAGAUAAAUCUUAUCUUCUUCCUAAAACUGGCUAAUGGGCAACCAUUACAAACAUUCAAACUAUUUCAUUCAAUAUGACAGUACAAGUAAUUUUCCUUGUAUUUAUGAAAACAAGUGAAUAUGGGCAGGUUGAAGCCUGUGCUCAUUUGUAACUUGCUGUCUGAUUUUGGAAAUGACUUGCCUGUAGUAGGAGACAGUACUGUUUUAGCUGAAGUGCCAUACACAGUCAUUCUUUUGAGUUUAGUGUCUAAAAUAAAUAUCAUAGUCUUAGCUGCUCUGGAAUCUAACAGCCAUUAUCAGAUGCACUUGAAUUUUUAUCAGAAACAAAAAGCUCCACUGUCGCUUCCCUAAUACGUCAUUUUCCUAAAUUAGAUGCAAUAUAAUUUGAAUAUAGCUCCCUGUAGUCAAUAAAAACCUUUCACUGCUCUACAAAAGGUUAGGGGAAUCUCAACCACAGAGACAUGAGAUCCAUUUAAGGGUGCUGUGGAAUAUUAGGUAUGCAAACACUUAUACAUGAUUCAUAAGAGAAAACCAGAGAUUUCAAAUAAGAAUCCAUAGUAUCAAAAACAUUCUGACCUGUUUAGUCUUUCUGAGUUCUUUGCAAUGAAAGAAUUGCUCUCUCAUUUUUCUGCAGUCAAGAGUGAAAGCUGAAAGCUGGCAUUUUCCAAGGGAUGCCUUGAACCUAAAAAGGUUGAAAACUACUGUUCUAGAGAUGUAGUUUUCUAACACCUUUAUUUUUUAUCAAAGAUGAUAUAGGUUAAGAGUACCAAUUGCUCUGAUCUUUUUUUAACCCUCUAUUAGAAACUUUCCAUCAUCCACUUACCUGCUUAGGAUUUAAUCUGUUCAAAAUUUCCCCACACUUAAGAAGUAUAGUGACACUGUUUCCCUUGAACACUGUAGAAACAUUGCUUUUACUCACUAAUAUUUUACAAUUCAUGCUUUUAGCCCUCAGGGCCUUUUCGUGAAAACCUCCUGUUUUCAUCUUCUCAGGUCUCACACUAUGCCCAAAACUAAAGUAGUUGCUUAACCUACCUACACCCUCUAAAAUCUCCUAUUGCAGAAUAAAUUGUAUUAAUUAAAGAGCUUCAUGAAAUCUUCUGUUAUUUUCAGGUAGCUUAAAAUGAUACCGAAACCCACUGCAAAUGUGAGCUUUCACAUGAGCAUUCAUUGACUUUGCUCUGAGCUUUCACAUGAGCAUUCAUACUCAGCAUUUUCCUGAGGGAUGUCUAUUUUUUUUUUGCAAGUUUAGAGUACACCAGUAAGUGUAAUAGUUUUUUCUUGCUAGUGCUAAUGAUUGAUGAGCACCCAGUAGCUAAUAGUUAACACCCAGGGAGGGAUUAAAAACAAUCGAGGGAUGUCACUCAGAAUUUCCUUGGAAAGUGACUCUGUCUGGGGGUUUGGCCAGUGUCACUAACAGUUUAGUCAUUAAAUAUUUGGGACACACUUUCAGCUGUAUUUGACAUGGAUUGCUUUAUACAGUCUGCUCUUAGUCCUUUAAACACUUAUGCACGUAGCUUCUCACAGUCGUACUUAUUUAGCUCUGGGAUAUUGUACAGUUAUACACACAUGUAUAAAAUGUAUACAGGCACGUAAGUGUUUUAUUGGACUGAUAUAUAAACCAGUCCAAGUGCCAGAUGAAAAUGUAAGGAAUUGGGAUUCUUUGCUUCUAUGGUAGAAAUCUAAUCACUACAAAUUUUGCAGUUCAUGUUGAUUUUCAGUGUGAUUUAAUACAUUCUGACAUAUGGUACACAGCCAGAUAAGAAAACCUGGUGUGUUGGCUAUAAAGAGUCAUCCCUGUGAUAUUUCUCUCUACAUGCAGUAUUAAUUGUAACUUUGUGCCAAGAUUAGGUCAUGCCAAACAUUAAACCUGGACCUGUCAUCCUUCUGCAUCUCGGUAACAAUGUGCAAUGUAGUUAUUCAAGAGAAGCAUCAACACGCAGGGGAAAGGACACUUACAAACCACAAGGUAGUAAAGAGAGAAGCUAAAAUAACUAGUUUGAAAUUACUCUAAACAAUUAAAUACCAUUUCUGAACAAGACUACAAAGAUAGUGUACAGCAGUAGGGUAUGUACUUGAAAGCUGAAACCCUUAUUCUCAUCUAUAUUCCUUUGAUCUUAGGUCACCGCUAUACCUGCUUAGCUGUCCUGUUGCCUUCCAUUCAUUUCUCACUCAUCUUCUGGUCAAAUCUUUUGCUCAUUUGUUUGAAGCUAUCUUUUUUUUUGCAAGUCCACGUCUGUCCAUAGUGCUGCCUUGGUCUUUAACCCUUAACGGUGGGACAGCAUGGGCUUUAGAUGCAUAUUCAGCUCCAGAUUGGUUUUCUCCCUGCAGUGAUAUGGAUGAACUGGCCAUUUUUGUUUGAUUGAAAAGAGGGAUAUAAGAGAACGUUAUAAAGACAUUUUUAUUCAUUGUAAUUUCAUAAGUUUGGGUAAACUAGUAAGCUGCUCUCUACUCUGUCCUACUUCUGUGGGGGGGGUUACCCUCCCCUUCAAUGACUUCAGGAUUUUGGGGUUUGUUCUUUUUUUUUUUUUUUGCUUGUUUAGUUUUUUCAAAACCAAACCAAACAUUGAGCUGACUUCCCUCUUUAUUCACAGUGCUGCCAACUCUGUACAAGUUAAGGUAAGUACUCAAACCUGUUAGUAAAACUUGCCAGUAUCCUUUCAAUGCCAAGCCAAAUAUGGCAUUUGUGAAUAUAAAUCCUGUCUUUGGCAGCUAGUCCCCCUGAAACUGAAAGUCGUUGAGCAUCUUAGGCUAUCUAACACCAACCAACUGCUAAUACUGGGCCAUUAGGAAGCAGCUGUGUAACUCCAAAAAUGGAAUUAUACCUGAGUUACUUAAUGUUGCUGAAGCUCAACCCUGCACUGGUGCACCACAAAAUCUAUAUAAUAAGCACCACAUAGCCCCAGUUUAAGGACUGUUGCUAUACAACACCCCAUUCAAUCCCUAUAAUCCUCUAAUUUGAGUUUGGUUUCACUGAAUUACAAGGAGCAUAUUGGUACAUUUGGCAACUCUUACAGUAUAAGAAUGUUUUGAUGAUAAAAUGGCUUAGAGGAUCAUUAAUUACACCUGAAGUUUAUACGAAAUCACUAGUUCCCAUCUAAAUCCCACUGAGUCAUAUGAUAACAGUUUAUAUAAGAACAGCAUAGAUUCAUAGAUGUUAGGGUCGGAAGGGACCUCAACAGACCAUCAAGUCCGACCCCCUGCCUAGGCAGGAAAGAGCGCUGGGGUCAGAUGACCCCAGCCAGAUGCCAAUCCAUCUUUUAUCACAAAGCAUUUUAAAGACAGAAUUAAUUAAGCUACCCGGUCACCUGACAGGGAGGCCCACAUCCUACAUCACAGCUCAGCUGACUGAACCACAGAGAGGUUUGAUAACCAGUUCACUGGUUUUUAAAUUCUUUGGUGCAGGAACCUUAUCUUCCUGUGUGUUUCUGUGACCACAGGCUCAAGAGGAUCCUUGUCCAAUUUAGGAUGAAACACUGGAAAAUACUUGCUCAGUUGCUUUGAUGCCAUGUUACAUCCCUUCUCAUUCUUCAUUUCUGCUUUUGCUUGUCUAGAUUAUAUCUUAUCCAAGGCGGGGCGUCUUAUCUUUGUUCCUGUCUGUAAAGCAGAGAACAUGCAUCUCUUGUUACAUUAACAAGAAUAAGAGGAGCCAAAGUGUGAAUAGAGCUUAGAGGUCUCCUGCUCUAAGCAUUAGAUGCACUCUGUUAGGGGAUGUUUUCAAGAUAAGCUGACAGCAUUAGGUGUAGCUUUUUUGAACUGGAGCAGGGUGUUGUCAGGCUGCAGGUGUUCUGUGCACUUAAUAUUGUUAGACAUUAGUAUUUUACAGCAAUCUGGUUGCGCAGGUAAAGCCAGCUAGAUAUACAGAUGACUAAUGUGGAAAGCUGCCUUAAUGGACAUUCCUAAAAGCAAGGCACCCGUGGAAAAAAACAGCUGUGUUUCCUUCCUCCUCCUCCUGCCAACACGGAUGCAGCUAUAUGGUGAUUGUGCCAGAGCUCAGAAAAAAUGAGUAAGAAAAGUUACAAGUCUCCACCAUUGCGACAGCCAGAAGCCUACAUUAAAAUCUAAAGAAAACUGAGAUUCUUAUGAAAUUACCUGACACCAAGAGGGGGCGGGCUUUAAGGAAAACAUUGAAUAUCACAAGACUGGCAAUAAAAUUGUGACAGCUG